rnacentral:rRNA from 1 species
UACGGAGGGUGCAAGCGUUAUCCGGAUUUACUGGGUUUAAAGGGUGCGUAGGCGGACUUUUAAGUUAGAUGUGAAAGCUUGCAGCUCAACUGUAAGAUUGCGUUUGAUACUGGAAGUCUUGAAUUUAGUAGAAGUGGGCGGAAUAAAUCAUGUAGCGGUGAAAUGCAUAGAUAUGAUUUAGAACACCGAUUGCGAAGGCAGCUCGCUAUGCUAAUAUUGACGCUGAGGCACGAAAGCGUGGGGAUCAAACAGG